rnacentral:rRNA from 1 species
CAGCAGCCACGGGAAUACGGAGGGUGCAAGCGUUAAUCGGAAUUACUGGGCGUAAAGCGCACGCAGGCGGUCUGACAAGUCAGAUGUGAAAUCCCCGGGCUUAACCUGGGAACUGCAUUUGAAACUGUCAGGCUGGAGUCUUGUAGAGGGGGGUAGAAUUCCAGGUGUAGCGGUGAAAUGCGUAGAGAUCUGGAGGAAUACCGGUGGCGAAGGCGGCCCCCUGGACAAAGACUGACGCUCAGGUGCGAAAGCGUGGGGAGCAAACAGGAUUAGAGACCCCUGUAGUCCCUGUCUCUUAUAC